rnacentral:rRNA from 1 species
ACGGGUGAGUAACACGUGGGCAAUCUGCCCUUCACUCUGGGACAAGCCCUGGAAACGGGGUCUAAUACCGGAUACGACCUGCCGAGGCAUCUCGGCGGGUGGAAAGCUCCGGCGGUGAAGGAUGAGCCCGCGGCCUAUCAGCUUGUUGGUGGGGUAACGGCCCACCAAGGCGACGACGGGUAGCCGGCCUGAGAGGGCGACCGGCCACACUGGGACUGAGACACGGCCCAGACUCCUACGGGAGGCAGCAGUGGGGAAUAUUGCACAAUGGGCGCAAGCCUGAUGCAGCGACGCCGCGUGAGGGAUGACGGCCUUCGGGUUGUAAACCUCUUUCAGCAGGGAAGAAGCGCAAGUGACGGUACCUGCAGAAGAAGCGCCGGCUAACUACGUGCCAGCAGCCGCGGUAAUACGUAGGGCGCAAGCGUUGUCCGGAAUUAUUGGGCGUAAAGAGCUCGUAGGCGGCUUGUCUCGUCGGGUGUGAAAGCCCGGGGCUUAACCCCGGGUCUGCAUCCGAUACGGGCAGGCUAGAGUGUGGUAGGGGAGAUCGGAAUUCCUGGUGUAGCGGUGAAAUGCGCAGA